rnacentral:rRNA from 1 species
UACGGAGGAUGCAAGCGUUAUCCGGAUUUAUUGGGUUUAAAGGGUGCGUAGGCGGAAUAUUAAGUCAGUGGUGAAAUCCUGCAGCUUAACUGUGGAACUGCCAUUGAUACUGGUAAUCUUGAGUGUAGUUGAGGUGAGCGGAAUGUGUAGUGUAGCGGUGAAAUGCUUAGAUAUUACACAGAACACCAAUUGCGUAGGCAGCUCACGAAACUAUAACUGACGCUGAGGCACGAAAGCGUGGGGAUCGAACAGG